AGGGUUCGGCUGUUCGCCGAUUAAAGUGGCACGCGAGCUGGGUUCAGAACGUCGUGAGACAGUUCGGUCCCUAUCUGUUGUGGGCGUAGGAGAUUUGAGAGAACCUGACACUAGUACGAGAGGACCGUGUUGGACAGACCUCUAGUGUACCUGUUGUGGCGCCAGCUGCAUCGCAGGGUAGCUAUGUCUGGAUGAGAUAAGUGCUGAAAGCAUCUAAGUACGAAGCUCGUCUCAAGAUGAGAUCUCCCUUAAGGGUCGUUGAAGACUACAACGUUGAUAGGCUGCAGGUGUAAAGAUGGUGACGUCAAAGCCGAGCAGUACUAAUUACCCGUGAACUUUCA
rnacentral:rRNA from 1 species